rnacentral:rRNA from 1 species
UACGUAGGGGGCGAGCGUUGUCCGGAUUUAUUGGGCGUAAAGAGCGUGUAGGCGGCCAGGUAGGUCCGUUGUGAAAACUCGAGGCUCAACCUCGAGACGUCGAUGGAAACCAUCUGGCUAGAGUCCGGAAGAGGAGAGUGGAAUUCCUGGUGUAGCGGUGAAAUGCGCAGAUAUCUGGAGGAACACCGGUGGCGAAGGCGGCAUCCUGGACCAACACUGACGCUGAGGAGCGAAAGCCAGGGGAGCAAACGGG